GGGUAACCUGCCUGUAAGACUGGGAUAACUCCGGGAAACCGGGGCUAAUACCGGAUGGUUGUUUGAACCGCAUGGUUCAAACAUAAAAGGUGGCUUCGGCUACCACUUACAGAUGGACCCGCGGCGCAUUAGCUAGUUGGUGAGGUAACGGCUCACCAAGGCGAUGAUGCGUAGCCGACCUGAGAGGGNGAUCGGCCACACUGGGACUGAGACACGGCCCAGAACUCCUACGGGAGGCAGCAGUUAGGGAAUCUUCCGCAAUGGACGAAAGUCUGACGGAGCAACGCCCCGUGAGUGAUGAAGGUUUUCGGAUCGUAAAGCUCUGUUGUCAGGGAAGAACAAAUACCGUUCGAAUAGGGCGGGACCUUGACGGUACCUAACCACAAAGCCACGGGUAACUACGUGCCCCAGCCGCGGUAAUACUUAUGUGGCAAGCGUUGUUCCGGAAUUAUUGGGCGUAACCGGCUCUCAGGCGGCGUCUUUAAAUCUGUAUGUGAAAACCCCCGGCUUACCCGGGAGGGGCAUUGGAAACUGGGGAACUCUUAUCCCU
rnacentral:rRNA from 1 species